rnacentral:sRNA from 1 species
GUUCUUCACAUUCUUCACAUUCACCAGACACCAGAUUUCUAAGAAGACUGAGAAACAUGUUCCUAGCCAGAAUCCAGUGAACAUGAAGACAAAAGUGCAG